CUACUACUCCCUCUGUCCGAAAAUACUUGUCAUUGAAAUGGAUGUAUCUAGAUGUAUUUUAGUUCUAGACACAUCCAUUUUGAUGACAAGUAAUUCCGGAUGGAGGGAGUAUUAU
rnacentral:pre_miRNA from 1 species